GGGCUGCAGUAUUUUGACUGUACAAAGGUAGCAUAAUCAAUAGUCUCUUAAUUGGUGACUUGUAUGAAAGAUUGGAUGAGAUAUAUACUGUCUCUAAUUAAUUUAUAGAAAUUAAUUUUUUAGUAAAAAAGCUAAAAUAAUUUUAAAAGACGAGAAGACCCUAUAGAGUUUAAUAAUUUAUUUAAUUAUUAUUAAUAUAUAAUUUUUAAAAUUAAAAUUAAAUAAAUUAUUUUGUUGGGGUGAUAAAAAAAUUAAAUUAACUUUUUUUAAUUAUUAACAUUAAUUUAUGAAUAAAUGAUCCAUUUAUAGUGAUUAAAAGAAAAAAUUACCUUAGGGAUAACAGCGUAAUUUUUUUUUUUAGUUCAAAUAGGAAAAAAAGUUUGCGACCUCGAUGUUGGAUUAA
rnacentral:rRNA from 1 species